rnacentral:rRNA from 1 species
AUAGCCUUUCGAAAGAAAGAUUAAUACUGGAUAGCAUAACGAGAAGGCAUCUUCUUGUUAUUAAAGAAUUUCGAUAAUCGAUGGGGAUGCGUUCCAUUAGUUUGUUGGCGGGGUAACGGCCCACCAAGACAUCGAUGGAUAGGGGUUCUGAGAGGAAGGUCCCCCACAUUGGAACUGAGACACGGUCCAAACUCCUACGGGAGGCAGCAGUGAGGAAUAUUGGUCAAUGGACGAGAGUCUGAACCAGCCAAGUAGCGUGAAGGAUGACUGCCCUAUGGGUUGUAAACUUCUUUUAUAUGGGAAUAAAGUGAGCCACGUGUGGCUUUUUGUAUGUACCAUACGAAUAAGGAUCGGCUAACUCCGUGCCAGCAGCCGCGGUAAUACGGAGGAUCCGAGCGUUAUCCGGAUUUAUUGGGUUUAAAGGGAGCGUAGGCGGAUUAUUAAGUCAGUUGUGAAAGUUUGCGGCUCAACCGUAAAAUUGCAGUUGAUACUGGUAGUCUUGAGUGCAGCAGAGGUAGGCGGAAUUCGUGGUGUAGCGGUGAAAUGCUUAGAUAUCACGAAGAACUCCGAUUGCGAAGGCAGCUUACUGGACUGUAACUGACGCUGAUGCUCGAAAGUGUGGGUAUCAAACAGGAUUAGAUACCCUGGUAGUCCACACAGUAAACGAUGAAUACUCGCUGUUUGCGAUAUACAGCAAGCGGCC